CGUCAGGUGGGGUGCUAUUGCCCAAAACCAAGCUUGACCAAUCCCGACCCAACCCGGGCAUAGUCGGUCAGUGAGAACCUGUGAUGUACCUAAGCAGGCGAGCUCCUGGCAGUCAACAGAUAAAAGGAACAAAGACCACAAAGCAAGGAGGCUUGUGGUGGCUGGCCAGCUGUGAAACUUGAUUGAUAUGUGAGAUAUGGUCUCUGGUAAUCGAUUACCAAGGGUGGGUAAUCGAUUACAAGGCUUAAAAAUGAAGACAGGAGGCUAAGAUGGUCUCUGGUAAUCGAUUACCAAGGGGUGUAAUCGAUUACCAGGCUUGAAAACGAGGUCAAGAAGCCAUGAGGGCUUCUGGUAAUCGAUUACCAAGAGGGUGUAAUCGAUUACCAGGCUUAGAAAAGGGACUGGAACAUUGUGGAGGCCUCUGGUAAUCGAUUACCAGUCUGUGUAAUCGAUUACACAGAGGAAUGGGUCACUGGUAAUCGAUUACCAGGUAUGUGUAAUCGAUUACACAGUGCAUUUUUGCAUAUUUCAUGUUCUGAGGCUGUGUAAUUCGAGUUUAGCCUCUGGUAAUCGAUUACCAAGUCUGUGUGAUCGAUUACCAGAGAUGAAAAGCCUUAAGAUACUCCUUUUUAAUUGCAUGUAGUGGUCAUGAGACGUAUUUGUGCGACGGCAUAGAUAGAUUCUUGUGAAAGAGUCUACCCCUUUCUUUUCUUCCUUGUAGAUCAUGAUGGCGGCGCAGCUAAUCCAUGAUCGAGUAGAGAUGGAGUGCCUAGAGGGAGCCUGGGAGACCCUCGAAGGCAACACGAGGUGCCGAUUUCGGGGCACCAUUCGAUUCACGGCUACUUCUUUGGUGCAUCCAGAUGAACCUGCACGGACACUUCAGCGCACGGUGGAGUGGACAGCUCCUUGGAUUAGUUUUGUAUAUCUUUGAGGGUGGGUGUAUCUAGGACUGACUGUUAGAUUUACUCUUUUGUUUUUGUAUGGGUAGACCUGAUGUAUAGGAAUUUGAUGAUUGUAUACUUGUGGCUGAAGCCACCACUAUGGACACCUUUGCUCUGGAUGACACUAUAUAUUUUGUAAAACUCCCAUAUUUUGGACAGCUUUAAAUGAUGAAUGCAUUUAUGAUCGAUCUUGUUAUUUGAAAAGAAAGCAUUAGCAACUUUAUUUGUAAAAGAGUUUAUCGACCGUAUUUUAUUCUUUUAUUUUCAUGUGACGACCUAAAGUAAUGGCUGGUAUAUUCUUCCUUUUGAAACAGCAAAAUAAUUUAGAGAAUUAUGAGCGGUAAGAAAGAAAUGACUCCGAAUAGAGUUGUGAACUGGCCAUUCAGGACUCUAUAGUGAGGAUUUUCCUUCAAAACCUUGUUUUGGUGAAAAGAGAAAGAAAUGAAAAAGAAAAAUAAAAAAAAAAUUUACCAUGGUUUUUGUUUAUUUAAAUUAUUACUAUUAAACCAGUCAUUAAUUUAGGGACGCCACAAUUGGUGGUAUCAGAGCAAAAGUUGGAUUCUAGUGAACCUGUUAUGGUCUUGCUGUGUGAAUGCUGUGUAUCUCUGAAACUUGGAAGUAGGUUUCGGGGAGUGACGUUAAGUCACACAUUGUGUGUAUUUCUGCUUUCUUGUCUUGAGCAUGGAUGUGUGACUGAUUCAUAGGAUCGUUGUGUGUAUAAGUAUGUAUAAAGAGAAGGAUGUUGUUAUAACUGUCAUGGCCUGUCUGGUACACUCUCUCAUUAGGAUUUCUUGGGUACUAAUAGUUUCCCUACAGGAUAGGUAUGGCAGGACGUGGUAGGGAUCAAAACCGUGAUGUCCUCGACCGCAUUACAGCUGUGCUGGAAACUCUAGUGCAGGAACGUGAUGUGGAGCCGGCGGAGUAUCGGGGACUCAUGGCUUUCCGUAAGAACCACCCGCCAAAGUUCAGUGGAGACUAUGAUCCGGAAGGUGCUAGGUUGUGGUUAGCUAAGACGGAGAAGAUUUUCGAGGCGAUGGGUUGCCUUGAGGAGCAUAAGGUUCUUUAUGCAACAUUUAUGCUCCAAGGAGAGGCCGAGAAUUGGUGGAAGUUCGUGAAGCCUUCAUUUGUUGCACCUGGAGGCGUGAUUCCUUGGAAUUCCUUCAAGGACAAGUUCCUGGAGAAUUACUUUCCGCGAGAUCUCAGGAAGCGGAAGGCGAGGGAAUUUCUGGACUUGAAGCAGGGAAACAUGUCUGUUGGGGAGUACACGGCUAAGUUUAAUGAGCUUCUGCAGUAUUGGCCUCAAUACCAAGAUGCUCGGAAUGAGGAAGAUUUAUGUGCUCAGUUUGAGAACGGGCUUCGGUUGGAGAUCCAACAGGCGGUUAGCUACAUGCAGAUCACGGAUUUUAAUCAGUUGGUGACAAAGUGCAGGAUUUUUGAGGACAAGAUGAAGGAGAGGCAAGCUAGAGGUGUUGGAGGACCUCAGAGAAACCAUCCUUUUAGAGGAAAUGGUAACAAGAGGAUGAAGCCGUAUGCUAGCAACAAGGGGAAGCAACCUAUGGCUACCUCCAACAUGAGCCAGUCAAGGGGGACUGGGGUACAGUGCUUUCAGUGUGGGGGACCGCAUCUUAAGAGGAAUUGCCCACAGCUCCAGCAGACACAAGAGAGCCGUUGCUAUGUUUGUGGCAAGGUGGGCCAUUACGCUCGGGAAUGUAGGGUGACAGGGAGACCGACGGUAACAGCCAAUUCCAACACCGUCAAUCGUGGACCCACUAAUUCCACAAGGAGCGGUAAUGUUAGCAACAACAACACUAGUGGUGGAAGACCAAAAGUACCCUCUCGGGUAUUUGCUAUGAGUGGUUCAGAAGCGGCUGCCUCCGACGAUUUGAUAAGGGGUAAGUGUUUGAUUGCUGAUAAACUACUAGAUGUACUUUAUGAUUCAGGUGCCACGCAUUCUUUCAUAUCUCGUGCAUGUGUAGAGAGGUUGGGGUUAUGUGCGACGGAGUUACCAUAUGAUAUGGUGGUGUCUACUCCGACGAGUGAGCCUGUAACCACCUCUCGGGUGUGUUUGAAGUGUCCCAUAAUUGUUGAGGGUCGAUCUUUUAUGGCGGAUUUGAUUUGCCUACCUUUAGCUCAUCUAGAUGUGAUCUUGGGGAUGGAUUGGUUAUCUAUUAACCAUAUCUUUCUAGACUGUAAGGAGAAGAUGCUAGUGUUUGGUGGAGAUAUAGUUCCAAGUGAAUCUUUUGAAAGGGAUGCGACCAACGAAGGAAUGGGGGAUGUUCGAACUUACAUGGUGUUGUUCUCUAUGUAUGUGGAAGAGGACGCUGAAGUUAAUAGUAUACCGGUGGUGUCGGAAUUUCCAGAAGUUUUUCCUGACGACAUUUGUGAAUUGCCACCUGAGAGAGAAGUGGAAUUCAUUAUUGACUUGGUGCCUAGGGCGAAUCCAGUGUCGAUCGCGCCUUAUAGGAUGUCUCUGGUGGAACUAGCAGAGGUAAAGGCACAAGUACAAGAUCUUUUGAGCAAACAAUUUGUUCGUCCAAGCGCAUCACCGUGGGGAGCACCGGUCUUGUUGGUUAAAAAGAAGGAUGGAAGUAUGAGGAUGUGUGUAGACUACCGGCAGCUAAACAAGGUCACUAUCAAGAACAAAUAUCCUCUACCAAGGAUAGAUGAUUUGAUUGACCAAUUGAGGGGAGCAACGGUAUUUUCAAAGAUCGAUCUGCGAUCGGGGUAUCAUCAAAUUCGAGUUAAGAAGGAAGAUAUCCCAAAAACUGCGUUUCGGACCCGGUAUGGGCACUACGAGUAUUUAGUCAUGCCAUUUGGAGUGACUAAUGCUCCAGCUAUUUUCAUGGACUAUAUGAACCGUAUAUUCCAUGAUUACUUGGAUCAGUUCGUGGUUGUGUUCAUUGAUGAUAUCCUAGUGUAUUCGAGGAAUAAGGAGGAGCAUGAGAAGCACUUGAGGAUUGUGUUGCAUAUCCUGAGGGAUAGGAAGUUGUUCGCCAAAUUGUCAAAAUGUGACUUUUGGUUGGAGAAAGUGCAGUUCUUAGGGCACGUGAUUUCUAAAGACGGGGUUGCAGUGGAUCCGAACAAGGUGGAGUCGGUUAUGGAGUGGCAACAACCGACAACUCCAACAGAGGUUCGAAGCUUCUUGGGGUUGGCUGGCUAUUAUAGAAAGUUCAUUGAGGGAUUUUCUAAAUUGGCAUUGCCUCUAACUAAGUUGACUCGUAAGAACGAGAAGUUUGUCUGGAAUGAGAAGUGUGAGCAAAGUUUCCAAGAGUUGAAGAGGCGGUUGACGACAGCUCCAGUGUUAAUUUUGCCCGACCCUAAGAGGACAUUUGAAGUGCAUUGCGAUGCAAGCGGGCAAGGCUUGGGAUGUGUGUUGAUGCAAGAGGGAAGAGUAGUGGCUUAUGCUUCACGUCAAUUACGUCCUCAUGAAGUUAACUAUCCGACCCAUGACUUGGAACUAGCAGCGGUGGUCUUUGCUUUAAAGAUUUGGAGGCAUUAUUUGUACGAUACUCGUUUUGAAGUUUUCAGUGAUCACAAGAGUCUCAAAUACUUGUUCGAUCAGAAGGAACUCAAUAUGAGACAACGAAGAUGGAUGGAGUUCCUCAAGGAUUAUGAUUUUGGACUUUCCUACCAUCCAGGAAAGGCUAAUGUAGUAGCCGAUGCGCUAAGCCGGAAAUCUUUACAUGUUGCGACUAUGAUGAAUUUGGAGCAGAGAUUGAUAGAGGAGUUCCGAGAUUUGAAUCUAGCAAUCGAGAUACGACCAAAGAGCUUAUUUGUGGGAGCAUUGCAGAUCACCAAUGAAUUCGUAGAUCACAUACGCGAGGCUCAAGAGGAUGACCCGUUUUUGCAAGGCAAGGUGUUAGAAGUAAUGGGGGAUAAGGUUGUGGAGUUUGAGAAGGACACAACCGGGUUAAUUAGAUUCAAGGGAAGGAUAUGUGUGCCACCUUUAGAUGAUUUGAAAGUUAAGAUCUUGGAAGAAGCGCAUAAAAGUCGUCUUAGUUUCCAUCCAGGAAUGACUAAGAUGUACCAAGAUUUGAAGAGAAGUUUUUGGUGGCAUGGCAUGAAGAAAGAUGUAGCUGAAUAUGUAGCAAGAUGUUUGACAUGUCAAAAGGCUAAGGUUGAGCACCAGCGACCAUCAGGAGAAUUGAAGCCAUUGGAAAUUCCGGAAUGGAAAUGGGAGAGCAUAUCUAUGGAUUUUGUAUCUAGUUUGGCCAAGACUAGUCGUGGGCAUGAUGCUGUGUGGGUCAUAGUUGAUCGACUCACCAAAUCUGCUCAUUUUAUUCCGGUGAAUAUGAAGUAUAGAAUGGAGAAGCUAGUGGAGUUGUACAUCAAGGAAGUGGUAAGGUUGCAUGGAAUUCCUUCUAGUAUUGUAUCCGACAGGGAUCCGAGGUUCACUUCGCGAUUCUGGACAAGUCUACAUGAAGCCUUGGGGACAAAGUUGAAGCUUAGUUCAGCUUAUCAUCCUCAAACAGAAGGUCAGACUGAAUGAACCAUUCAGACUCUAGAGGAUCUACUUCGGGCGUGUAUUAUAGAGCAACAAGGUAGCUGGAUGGAUUGUUUGCCAUUGAUUGAGUUUACUUACAACAAUAACUACCAAGCCAGUAUUGGUAUGGCUCCUUUUGAAGCUUUAUAUGGACGAAAGUGCAAAACUCCUAUUUGUUGGUAUGAUGAUGGAGAAGCGGUACUUCUUGGACCUGAAAUGCUACAACAGAUUAACGAACAAGUGAAGUUGAUUCGAGAAAAGAUAAAAGCAUCUCAGGAUAGGCAGAAGAGCUAUUAUGAUAGAAGGAGGAAGCCACUAGAUUUUCAGGAAGGGGAACAUGUGUUUUUGAGGGUUUCUCCCGUAACCGGAGUUGGAAGAGCUCUCAAGGCUAGGAAGUUGACACCCAAGUAUCUAGGUCCGUAUUAGAUUUUGAAGAAGAUUGGGCCUGUAGCUUAUCAUAUCGCCUUACCUCCGAGUUUAUUGAAUUUGCAUCCUGUGUUUCAUGUCUCUCAACUGAGACGGUACAACCCAGAUCCAUCACAUAUACUUGCAGUGGACGAGGUACAGGUGAAGGAUAAUCUCACCUAUAAAGCACAACCUCAGAAGAUCACUGACCGAGGAAUGAAGUCGUUGAGAGGAAAGGAGAUCGCGUUGGUGAAGGUGCAGUGGGGAACCGAUGAAGGUGAUUCUACAUGGGAGUUGGAGGAUAGGAUGAGAGAAUUGUACCCAAGUUUGUUCAUCGAGUAGUUAAUUUCGGGGACGAAAUUCCUAAAAGGGUGGGAGUAUUGUAACAUCCUGGAAAUUUCUACCCGGAGUUUUUGGAAACGAUGUAUUUUGAAUGAUUAUAUAUAUAAGUAUUAUUCAGUGUAUAUGCCUAUAUGUUCUUGGUAGAAGUAGGAAUAGUGGGGGCAAGAUAUGCGGGUUAGACUAAUUAAGGAAGAGAAAUCCAUAACUGGGAGGUUAUGGGUUAAUUCUUAAUUAAUUAGUUUAAAAAUCAUCGUUUUGCGUGUGUCUUAGAAUUUAACGAAACCAACCUCUGAACCACGCUCGGGGUUUUAUUCUGAGCGUUUUGAUAUAUAUAUUGCGUACUUUCGAAAACUGGCCCUGACGGACGUAGAGAAACACGAGGAACUGGAACCAGAGAAACGGCACGCAAACCGAGGCAGGAUUUUAGCGUUUCAAAGGUCAGAUUUUCCUCACUUUUGUGACUGAGUAUGGGUCACAGUCAAAAAGGGAAAGUGGACCCUUUUUGCUCCACUCAAAUGGAGACAUGUGGCAUUGCUUAAAUAAAAUAAUAGAAAAAGAGAAAACCCUUUUAUUUAAAACCAAAAAGCUUUUCUCUCUCUUCACUCAGCCCCACACUUUUUCAGACAGCUCUCUCUCUCCCUCACGUUGCCAUUUUCUUCUUCUUCAUUCUCCAUUGAAGCUCCAAGCAAAGCUUCAACCUUUGGCCAUCAUUUCUGCCCCAAAUUGCGAAAGGAGGGCAUUUUCGGGGUCGUGAAGUGCGUGGCUACGAGUGGGACUUCGAAAAUUCAGGUUUGGGUGGACUUCUUUCUCUCUUAAAUUUCGUGGGUAUGGGGUUUUGGGAGAUAUGAUGGGUAGUCUUGCUAGUUUUCUGCUUCAUGAUAGUUAUUUGUGAAGAAACUUGUUGAAAGCUUGUUGAAAUUGCCAUGUUUGGAUGAGUUAAACAUACCCAUUCUGUUUUAGGGUUUUUAUGAGGAUGCUUGUGAUGUUCAUGUACUGAAAUUGCUUAUGGAAAACUGUUAGAGAUGAAAGGUAGAGUUAACCUAGGGUUAGAAAGUGAGAAUGUGGUGUUAUGAGUGGAAAAAGAGUGAGGCUUUGAGAGUUGAAAGGCUAAAUCUGGAUUCUGUAGUAAAUGGAGGUUAAAAUGAGUUAAUCCUAGCUUGAAAUGCCAUUUAGGACUUAUGAGAAAGGUUAGGCUAUGCUAGAGAGAAAAACAAAUGACCAAAGUGAACCAAGAGCCAUUUCUAGGGCAAAAUUGGGUGUUGAGGAGUCAAAUUUUGAUUCGGUGGAAUUUUAGGUGUAAAUCCAGUUUGAGCAAGUUUAGAUUGAUGUUAUGGACUUGUGUGAGGUGAGAGUUUGCUUCAAAUUUACCUCAUUCUAAAUUUCACUUCUCGAGCCUAGAAAAUCCAUUAAAUUGAGGGGUUUUGGACACCUAGAUUUUGUGUUGCUGUGGUUUGAAGCUUGGCUUUGGUUUAGACAUGAUUGAUACAUGAUUUGGGACUUGUAGGAUUUAAUUUGGGCAAGAUUGGAUGAGGGGAAGUGUGGUUUUCGAAAUCUGCACUUUGUGCAGAUUUUUGCUGUGAAAUUGUGCAGCAGAAUUUUGCACAAGUGCAGAAAAAUGCUUGUGUGUGAUUGGCUAUGGAAAUUGUAGUGCAGAAUGAGUUCUGGAUGUUUGCUAGUAGAUCCCAACGGUCACAAUGUAGGCUUAAGUACUAGAGACUUCCAGUAAAAUUUUCGAGUCGAUCCAACGGUUAACGAAUUGGAACGAAGGAAAUGUUUCUGGGGUAUUUGUAUGUGAAAAGCUGUGAUUUUGGUUGGUGUUUUGGGCAGAGUUUUCUGCCUUUGCCCUGUUUUGCUUAGCUGUGAUAGCUUGUGCUGUGUGAAUGUUGUAUUACUUUGAUGUUGGGGAAGCUUGGGAGGAUUGAUGGGGACCUGGUGUUGAGAGAAACGAGGAUAUGAGCUACGUGGGAGUACGUGAGCUCAGUUGGAGGUGGGCAACAGGGGAUGGUGGGUUUAUGCGCGCAUUGUGGAUGUGGAAAACUUAUUGUGCACCAUCGCCCGACCGCCACCUAGUACCAUAUGUGAUGGGUACCCCAUAAUCCUACAAGCUUGAGAUGAGGAAGUGUUGAAGGGUGAAACUUCCUGCUUUUAUUGUUGACCACAGAGNNNNNNNNNNNNNNNNNNNNNNNNNNNNNNNNNNNNNNNNNNNNNNNNNNNNNNNNNNNNNNNNNNNNNNNNNNNNNNNNNNNNNNNNNNNNNNNNNNNNCUUGGGGACGUCAGGUGGGGUGCUAUUGCCCAAAACCAAGCUUGACCAAUCCCGACCCAACCCGGGCAUAGUCGGUCAGUGAGAACCUGUGAUGUACCUAAGCAGGCGAGCUCCUGGCAGUCAACAGAUAAAAGGAACAAAGACCACAAAGCAAGGAGGCUUGUGGUGGCUGGCCAGCUGUGAAACUUGAUUGAUAUGUGAGAUAUGGUCUCUGGUAAUCGAUUACCAAGGGUGGGUAAUCGAUUACAAGGCUUAAAAAUGAAGACAGGAGGCUAAGAUGGUCUCUGGUAAUCAAUUACCAAGGGGUGUAAUCGAUUACCAGGCUUGAAAACGAGGUCAGGAAGCCAUGAGGGCUUCUGGUAAUCGAUUACCAAGGGGGUGUAAUCGAUUACCAGGCUUAGAAAAGGGACUGGAACAUUGUGGAGGCCUCUGGUAAUCGAUUACCAGUCUGUGUAAUCGAUUACACAGAGGAAUGGGU
rnacentral:lncRNA from 1 species